UAGCGUGAGGGUGCUAAGGUAGCGAAAUUCCUUGCCUUUUAAUUGUAGGCCUGCAUGAAUGGCUUGACGAGGGCUUAACUGUCUCUAGUCUUAAGAUUUAAAUUGGAAUAAAGGUGAAGAUACCUUUAUAUAAAAGUCAGACAAGAAGACCCCGUGCAACUUUUAAAGUCGGUUUAUUAAGAAACUUAAGAUUUUUAGGUGGGGCGCCUAUUGAGUAAUUAUAACCUCUGUGAAUGCAAAAACCUUCGGGUAUGGACCCGACAAGCGUCGAUCAUAGGAGAAGUUACGCCGGGGAUAACA
rnacentral:rRNA from 1 species